GCCGCGCCCGCCCAUUGGCCGGCGCGCGGCUCGCCAUGGGAACGGAGGGACGCGCGGGCGCCCGAGGGCCGUGAGGGGCCCGUCGCUCCCGAGUCCCCCGCGGCCGCGGGAAUUCCCGUGUGCCCGGCCCGCCCCGGCCCUCGGGCGCCUUUCCCUGGCUCGACAGCAACGCGCCGUGGAGAGCCGGGCUUUAUUUAGCUGCCUGAUUCCAAGGGGCCAGCACCCGUCCCAUAAAAGACGGCGGUAGUGAAACUCCGGAGUCCUGGGGUGAGGCUCAGAGCCAAGCCCUGGUCAGGAGGGGGAAACACCAGGCAAAAAGUGGCUCUGGGGUCAGCUGUUGCCUAGGGCGGCUCAGGAGAAGCAAGGAUGUGACAGACCCAAACAAGAACCUUAAAAUAGCCCCUGCAGUCUACACGUGUAAAAUCACGCACAGUCGAGACACACACGCAAAAAACCCCCCUACUCGGUUUUCAGGACUUCAAUUGUUCAGAUCCAUGAAAAACAAGACCUGUGGCAGCCCUGCAGACAACUCGCUGUGUAGCUGUGUCAGUAAACCCAUCAGGACACACAUGAAGCUUUUGUGCUUUAAAAAUAACUGCCUGCCUUGAUCCAUGCCUGUAUUCAGAAGGAGACUGAAGUUAAAAGAUGACAGGGUAUAGGACACACUGGUUCCAUGCUUCAAAUUACAGCUCUUCAUUAGUGAUAAUGAGGAUCACCUGCUAUGCAUAGCAGGCAUGUCAGGCAUGAAAGAAAACCAUUAUUUGCAGUCAGUCAACAUGCAAAUGUUUCAAGCAUGAGUAGCCUUAUUCCACUUAGAGUAUAUUAACAUAAGCAAUACCACGGGGCAGCAUGUUUUUAAUCCGGCUCUGAAACAGAACAUUUUCUGUUAAGUCACUGAAAAGUCCACGGGGUUCUGUUUGCAUUUCCUGCGCAUAAAGCAGCCCCAGAGCCGAGCCGGAGCAGGCUGAUUGCAGCGUGCCCUCCUUGCUGUGCUCUGUGUGUGCAUCCCCAGCGCUCACAGGAAUGGAUUUCACACGGCUGACGCUGGAGUUAACAACCACUUGUUAGUUUCCACAGCAAGAGCUGCUUGGAGCUGGCGCUGGAAGUGCCCGUGUGCCUUUUCUGUGCAGCUGGAAAUGAACCAGCGUGGCUGAGAAACAGGGAACGGACACUUCAGCAGAACUGGAGAUGAGCUUCUCCUGGAUUCUGCUGUGAAUGGCAUGCGUUUUUCUUUGUAAAGUUUCUGCGGCACAUGGAAAAUGCCAUGAAGGGGGGCUUUCAGAGUCCUGCACGGGCCUAUUGGGCAAGGUCCUAUUGUCGAGAUGUCUUUGUGGGGAUACCGUGGAAAAUCGCCCGUUAGGGAUGGUGAAUGCAGGAGGAAAAGCAGCUCCUUCUCACAGAGUGCCGCCUCCCGUACAUCCACUUAAGGAUUUCGUUUCCAUCCCUCUUGGAUUUGUUUGCGAGUUAAUACAUUAUCCCCUGCCCUUAAAGAAGGUUCAAAACGCUUAUGGCAUGGACGCAACAGCAUCAAUCCAUAUCAAAGAGUUAUCAGCACGUUUCUCUGCCCGUACACUGUGCAUGAGCUAAUUACAGAAGCACAGCAAUGCAGUAGUUUCCCAGAAGGACCAUUAAGAGGAGGACCACUGGCAUGAUAGGCAAUGGAUAGCAAACUGGAAACCACAGAAUAUUUUAGCACCACACUCUGUGGGAUGGUGGCCACCACAUGGAGCAAAAGCUUCAGCGUUUUUGGAGACUUUGGCUUGAGUAGGCAGUGGCAACAACUCAGUUUGGAGAGGCAUGAAAUUUUAAGAGAAAGACAAUCUCCUCUGAAUCCCACUCCUAUCAAAGAUGCAAAACCACCAUCCUCCACUGAGACUUUGCUGAAAAAUUCUGCUUGAUAGAGGCCACAAUAUUGCCCAGUGCUGCACCUUCCUGACAGUCUUGUCUCUGUCAGCUCCUGGUAUACAUUCCUUCAGGUAAGAAAUUUAAGAAGCUGCUAAGAAAUCAUCAGCAACUAAAUAGGCUCCAGUUGUACUAUUCUGCUGCUGGUAAAUUGUUCAUAGUAUCAGUAGGAGUGCAUGGAUCUCAUUUUUCAGUCAGUGGGACAGCACUGUGAAUGACUUUUUGCAGCUGUAGAAGAAUCCACAGAAGUCUAUACAUUGGAGGAAAUCACUGAAGAAGUUCCUGUUGGACAACUAUCAGUCGAACCAGUCUCAAUCAGGGAUUCCCUCCAACUCUUGAGCGCUGGUUAACAAGACAGUCUCCUCAACUCAGUCCUUCUCAAGUUUGAUCUCCCAAGCUGAGUAUCAGUUGUACCUGUGAGCCAGGUUCUGUCUGUGCUCCAGUGAAAUUGCAGUCCAUGCUCCAUUGCUUUCCGCUGGCACAACAAAUGUCUGUUGUCAACUAAGGAUAUUUUUAUACCUAAGCCACUGUAUAUGCAGCUCAUACUUGAGCCUAAGAAAAACUGGAUCAAAUGCUUUAUUAUGUGUAUAUAUGCUGGUGUCAAGCAUUGAAAAGUUUUCUAAAAUUUGGAUAAUUAACAGUCCACUACAAGCAGUGAUUAAAAUACUUCUAAAUCUUUGCCAUUUGGAUUAUCAUUCACAUUCUGAAUCAUUCAUCAGGGUUUCCUGCAAAAUUAGAAGUUUAGGAGUACGAAGCUGCACAACUUGUCUUGGGCAAACACCCCCAUCUUAAAAUUUUGUGCCUGAUCUAUCCAAAUACACCAAAUGUUUUCAGAAUCAUUCACUGGGACAUGAAUGUGCCAAAUGAAAAAAAAAAAACAACCCUGUAACUUUCUGCAUCUCAUCACCUCUCAAAUAAUUUCUUCAGGUAAUCCAGCUCUUGAAUCAAGUCUUACAUAGCUGGUGUCCACUCUUUGCUUGCCAACAGAUCAAUCCAAUAAAUGUGAAUUAUUUGAGGUCAGGAGGAAUUGAAAGUGUGCAAUUCAAUAGUGCAAGCCGGUGCUGUGCAAGAUUGUUGUGCUCAAUUGUCUUGUAAGAAACCCCAUAAAUUAUAAUAAUUAAACUAUAAAACUUUGUGACAGCUUUGAUCCAGUUGCCUAGACAGAACCUAAAGCAAAACACAAAUGGAUGGAUAUCUCAUCUUCUGGGAAGGGAAGUGAUCUACCACAGUUGUUCCCUGAAUAGAACAGACACUUAGCUAUAGAUUUGAAAAGAUUUGAAGCUCGAGGGGUAUCAGCUGCUUUACGUUUCCGACUCUUGAGACAAUUUCAUGCUUCUCUGCCUGCAAGAUUCUGGAUGCACAUCUGAGCACCUUGUCUGGUAGUUCUGAGGCUCUUUAUAACCCUGAGAACCUAGAGAAUAAAGGAAGGAAACAACAUAUAUUUCUUGAAUGAAGUGGCUAAAUAGCACUUGUGAGUCAUGAUAUGAAAGGAAAUAAUUUGAAUUAGGUGAGAUGUGCAUGGCAGCGUAACGGAAAGAGAGUCUCCUCAUUUUCAUCAGCUAAUAAUCAAAACAUUUUGACAAAACUUCUAAAAGAAGCCAAAAAUAUGGAAACAAUUAUUUAGAGAAGAAUACAGCAAAAUUAUGUAUAUGCUUGUAUUUUGCAUCUUAAGGUAAACUGUACUUUUUUGUUUCCAGAUGGAUAUCCCAGGCAAAUAUAUAGACCCAGAAAAAAAAAAGCAAGAUCUCUAAGUGAUGUAAACAAUCUCACAUGUACAAAUAUAUAUUUUUUAGUUCCAUACUUAAGUUACCAUGUUAAUUCCAGUGCUUAACAAUUGUAUGUGCAAUUGAAGAGCAGAAGAAAUAUUCUUGUCACUUACAUAAAGAAGUUUUUUUAAAAGUCAAAAAGUGCAUGCCUUCUUUGAUGUACUAUUUGGCAGCCAUUUUGACCUUGUUCUUUCUGCUAGGGUUUCAAUGUCAAUGGCAACAUUGUGCAAAUAACAGAUUUUAAAUAUGAAUUUGUUUUUUAUUCAAAACAGUUACCUGCCAAGUCUGAGGUUUAAAAAAUCCCAGACAUAAUUUUUUACCUGGGUGAAAAGAAAGCAUCUUAAACUAUAUUGUGAUCUAGUAACUUAGAAGAUUUCAGAAUCCUGUUCUGUCAUACUUGGCAAAGAUCUCUCCAGACUCAGACCAAACAAGGGGAACUGCCCUGAAAAAAACUUUUUCCAAAAUUAUGAAUUAGAAUCAGAUUUUUAUAAAUACAUAUAGUCACAUGAACAAUGUAUUAUUGCUGUUUUCUUAUUCAAAAUUUUCCAUCAUUUUUGCUUGUUCAUCGUUCACUUGUUUGCAAAAACAUUUGCUAAAUGAAUAGGGACUUUGAAUGGAGGAGGACAGACGGAUUAUGUGUUACUGCUGAUUCAAAACGACACACUGCAAACAAAAUACCAUUUUGCAAAGAUACAUUUCAUAUUCUCCAAGGAACUGAGCACAGCCCUCAAAGUUAAAGUUCAGUUGCUUUUAUUUCCAGUCCAUGUAACAUACUUAAUGAUUGCUGAGUUCACACUUUUCCUCUUCCUGAAUUGUGGACCAUAUGAGAAAUACUUUUGUAUACAUGUUAGAUAUCUACAAUAAAAGGCAAACAUGAAGGUGCAGCAAAGGCCUUGCAUUAAUAUUGUAAAUUGUGGGAAUGAAGAAGAUGUUGUAAUGAAGAGCAAGGAAUCUCCUUCUUGCAGAAUAUCAGAUCUAAUUUCCUUAUGAAGUUAUCUGAAUUGGCAAAUGGGACACCAAAGUCCUUCAUCCACAGAGCAGAAAUGAGGUGGCAGUCAAAGUACUAGUAUGGAAGUAGGAAGCAGAAAGAGUCUGACAGAAAAUCAUAUAAACACAUAAAAAUGCAAUCAGAAAUAAUAAAGAAUGAUAAAAUAUAGAAAGAAGGUACGCUAUUGGUAACAAGAAGGCAUUCUGCAAAUACAUUAGGAAGAGGACAGAGCUGGUCCACUGCUCAAAGAGGAGGAAAAGCUAAAAAUAGAUGCCACCAAGAUGGUUGAAGAAUUAAUGAAGUUUUGCUUCAGUCUUCACUAAGAGGGGUGCACUAGGAAGAGCACUGUUAGCAGGCAGAGGGAGGUGAUCCUGCCCCUCUGCCCAGUCCUGGUGAGGCCACAUCUGGAAUGCUGUGGUCAGCUCUGGGCUCCCCAGCACAGGAGAGGCAUUGAGCUCCUGAAGCAGGUCCAGUGGAGAGCAAAGAAGAUGAUGAAGGGACUGGAGCAUCUCUCUUAGGAAAGGCUGAGGGAGCCGAGGCUGUUCAGCCUUGGGAAGAGAUGAACUAGAGGGAACCUCACCAAUUUCUGUCAGUAUCUGCAGGGAGGUGCCAAGGGCAUGGACCAGGCUCUGCUUGGCAGUGCCAGGCAAUAGGACCAGAGGCAAGGGGCAGAAACUGAUGUGCAGGAAGUUCCACCUGAACACAAGGAAGAACUUUCCUAUGCAAGUGACUGAGUGCUGGAACAGAUUGUCCAGAGAGGGUGUGGAGUGUCCCUCACUGGAGAUAUCCCAGAACUCUCUGGACAUAAUCCUGUGCCAUGUGCUCCGGGAUGACCCUGCUUGAGCAGGGAGAUUGGAUCAGAUGACCCAUUGUGGUCCCCUCCAACCUGACCCAUUCUGAUUCUGUGAAAAAAUGAUGGCAUUUUUGAUACAAUGCAUAAUUAAUACAUUUUAUCAGUGCAAAAAAAGACCAGUAUGGUUAACAAGUAUCUGCAGCUUCACUAAAUAACUUGAAGCAUGUGCAUAAACUGUAAAACUCAUUACUGAAUAUCUGCAAAAUUAAUAAUUCAGAAAAGGAUUUUUUGUAAUCAAUAGCAAUACUACAUAGAAAAAAAAUAUGUUGUGGGGCAAAAGGCAGGCACUGGAUGGUGGCUGGCUCUUCUAGGGAUGGCUUGGAUGUGGCUUUAUUUAAUUUCUGACAUGGAUACAGUGAAAUGGAAAUCCCUCUGGUGAGACAGGGGCUGUAGAAGCAGCAUUUCCUAGACCAGAACUAUUAGUACUCACAGAUGCUUGUAACAAUUGUGAUAGACAAAAAAGAGAUGAUAAAUAUGACCCCAAAGAACACUGCUAUAAAGAUGGCUGUUUAUCCAAAGUGAAGAACUGGUAUCAUCAUACAUGCACAAGUCCUUUCGGAGGUGUUUUAUAUACAUAUCCUGAAUUUAUAAGGAUUCUACUUUUCCUGGGAGGAAGCUAGCACCAUUUCUCUUAUGUACAACUCUCUUUUAAGGAAAACACAGCACUGAUUCUACAGAAAGGCUGAAGAAUGCCGUUUGUGCAGUCUGGUAGUUGGAUCAUUCUCAUGGGCGGUGGCAGAUGUAAAAGAACUUGGGUUUCCCACAAGAGUAAGUUGGCAGUGUGUGAGAGGUAAACAUUCUUCUGCUUUUGGGUGGAAAUAGCAUCAUAUGGAUUUUUUGGAAUUUCAUUGUCAACUUGGACUGAGGCAGCCUCUGGGUGACUGGGUUGAUGAUAUUUCCAGUACUGAGGAAACUGUGAGUGGAAGCUUUCAGAUGCAGCGUGAUUAAGUCAAGGAUAUAAAGAUAUGGAUCUCUGAGGAGCGAGGACAUGAACCCAAACAGGACUGAUUUGCUUUCCAGCUUUUUAAGAGCUCAUGUUAAAACACACAGCUCUGUCAGUGGAGCUCAAGAGGUAGCUUUUACAUUGCAGCUACACGGUGUCUGUAAUAGGGUUCAGUUGUCGUGCUAACGGUAAGUGAGGGAUCUGCAAAAAUUUUCCAGAUUUCUAGGAGAAAAAAAAUAAAAUGAAUGCAGUCUGCUUCACAUAACUGUCUGCAGUGAGCAAUAAAAUGGCUGUAACAGGGAUCACUGCUUUGCACAUGGAAAAAAUAUAGGUUUUCUAUAUACUUGCAAUGCAUUUGCUUAAAAUUUAUUAUAAGUGUAUUUAAAAUAUAUAUCCUCUGUAUAAAAUAGUCUGUUUAAAAUGGGACAACUUUGCCAAUUUUCUUAAUAUUUCAAAUAUGUGGUAUAACAAAAUGCAUUCAAAGUAUCAUUAGGAACUGAUACUUUUGGAACAUUUAAAUGGGCUUAUUUGUUGUCUUGAGUAUCUUUAAAGAAGCAUGUGUGUGGAGCAUUUUUCAGAUACAUAAAUUAGAAGAAGAAAAUUGAGAUUUUCCCCUCCCCUUCUGAGCAACCUGUGACAAGAUUUAGUCCAAAAUAUUAGCAGACAGCAGGCUGAAGGAAAAAAGUGCCAGAUUUUAUCCUGUAGACCAAGCAAGCACUGGAAAACACUGUCUUCAGAGAUCUCCAUCAUGUUCAGAAGCACUGAGAGCAGUACCCUUCAGAAAGGGGGUUUUCUCCUUUAACUUUCUCACAAGAGAAAGGAGCAAGUGUGGGGAAUGCAUUGGAUGGUGAUGCUGUUCUCUUUCUCUCUCUGCUGUUCCACAGUUGAGGUGGAGGUCAGGAUUCCACCGCUUCUGAAAGUGGCUAAAACAUCAGGAAAUACAGCACUACUGAAUUAUCCUCAAUAAAUCCUAAAUCUGCUGUGGGAGUUGGGAGAGGCAGCAGAGCCCUGGGUGAGGUGCACUGAUAAUGGUUCCUGCAGAGUGGAAAGGACAAAGAUGACACAACUUAGCACAGAACAAAGCAGCAUCAAGGCUUUAAGCGUGGCUGUUGCAAACCUCUUUGGGAUUCUAAUUUAUUUAUUUUUUUUGUACAACGGAUCUGUGUCAGUGCUUGACGCUUUUGAUGUCAGAGUUUUAUGUGGUGAAAGUGAUACAUCUUAUUACCCAGAUGGUCUAAGAAGGCAACAGCUUCUGGGAGUAAUCUGCUCUCCAGCUGACCUUUCAAACAUCUAGCCUCAAUGUUUCCAUGCUCACCAUCUUCAUUUUUUUAAGUGUAAAAGUGCGAGAAAAAUUGUCAAGAACUGAACAGCAACAUGAAGCUGAAAUUUUAUUUGGGUUGCUAAUCAGAACAAGAGACCUUAAUGCUGUUAAUAGAAACACUGGCAUAGUGUGACUUGAAGAUACCCACAUUUGAACGAAAUAGUUAAUUUUACAGCACAACUGAACAAAAAUCCUUUAAAAGCUGUGGAAGAGGCUGUUGUUGAUGCUAACAUAGGUUGAUAGCCAAGGCCUGAAAUUAAUAAGGGAGUCUAGCAAGGCAAGGCUUCUAAAUUACUGAGGAGACAGGAGAUGAACAGAGAGAAGAAAGCGCUUUUAAAAUCAGCUGAUCUACUUUAAAGCCAACCUGAGUACAGAUGGUAGGAGCUGAAAGCAGGAAGGAGAGAGUUUGCUAAAGUGUUCUGAACAAGUGCAGGACCCAGGCCCAAGAGGUGUUGAACAUUUCUGAUGAGGAAUCAGGUACCUUCAACAUUAUGUGACUGCAGAGUGUGCUCUGAAGCAGCUGAAACAAUAUUUGAAGGAAGAAUGUGGAAACAGUUUGGGCCACUGGGUAUGAGGCAGCAUGGUUGCUGUGCUAAUGAAAAUUUGGAACACCGUUGCAAACUGGAGUGCUUGGCAGAAGCAGGAAUUUCUCUGUGCUGUUUAUGAGGCAUAUAAAAAGGAAAACUGAAGAAAAAGGGAAAAAUGUUGAAAAAUUCUGCAGUUCCAGCUCUAUUUCUGUUGUUCUGUCUAUCAACAUAUUGCAAGAAGAAAAAGGUGAAACAAGAGGAGCUGAAACUAUGCAAAGAAAGGAGGCCAAGAACGUUGUAGAAAGAGGCAAGGCAUGUGCUGGAGAUGGAGCUGAAGGACUGGGGAUGCUGACAAGCCAGGUGCUGAUCCUUGAGCUCUGUUGUCUACAGCAGCAGACACAUUAAGCUCUUUGCCAGAGAUGUCGACUUUCCUGAACAAGCCUUUCAAGUCUUGCAAACUAUCUGUUGUUUUCCCAGUAGGCUAAUUAGGGUGGAUUAGCGCCCAUCAGAUAUGCCCUAGGGAUGAGCCAAAGGCUGAAGGGGAAGGUAAAUCGGAAUGCCAAAAACUUCCACCUUUGUGAGGCCCGAGAUACAAGUCUUCAUGGUCAGCACAGGAAAAAAAGGAGCACCUAGCACACAACUAUUCUCUGCUUAAAUUAAAACAGAAGCUGUCCUAAGACUCAAAAAGAAAAAAAAAAUUGUAAAAACCAACCACCUCAAAAAUCUUCCUCAUGCUGUCAUCAUCCACAGAAGUCAACAACAAAUCUCUGCUGAUAUGGCCAAGCCUCAAAAGCGUUUCCUGAUUCCAGCUAGUCACAAAAUGACUGUUUUACUGUUCCUGGCCAAGCACAUACCUACAUCAGGAUCAUGCACUGGUAGUGAGUGUGAGAAUGCUGCAAUCUUGUAUGUGCAGAGACAAAGCCAGGUCUGAUCCUUCUCACAUUGAAAAUUGAAGACAUUACUUAUAAAUCUGAGAACUAUGCUGAAAUAGUUACAAGAUGAUGAAGAGGAGCUUAAAAAUCCUGCAGCCCAAGCCAGGGCGGGCCUCCACCUAUGCAUUAAUUCAGCUGCACUUGCAUGGAGGGCCCAAAAUUACUACUGAAGAAAGUCAUCUCUGCUCCAGUAUUCUCUUGCCCCAAACCAAAGUGUUUUUGGGAUCACAUUGAACUGGACGUUCCCAAUGAUGAGCAUGAAUGCCUUUGUUGUGGUCAGUGAAAUUGCUAGUUUGAGUUGGGGCUCAAAAUCUCUUGCCGAGUCGUCUUCAGUUUCUGAUGAGUGGUGAGAUGAAGUCUGAACUGGCAAAAGAAAUGUGUUGGUUCUUUCUUCCACAAAAGGAGACAACAUCUGGAAGACAGUCUUUAAAUAGCAUUAAUUACAUCCUUUGAUUUUUCCUUUCAUAGGAGGACCGUGAAAGUGCAUCUCUUGGUGAGGACCAACAUAGAAUAACUGUGCUCUGGUACAGAACAAGAGAAGUGGAGAAUGCUGGCAGAGACCACAGUGGCCUUUUAAAAUCUAAACCCAGAGGGAAUAAUUCUGAGACUGAGUCAUCCAAUUUGGAGUACAUGCCAUAUCUGGACUCAGAUACCAGUUUCUGGCUCUGACUCUGCUCUCCCUUGUUGAGAAGGAAUGUCACGGAAGCCUUUGCAGUUUUUCACAGAAAAUGCAAGAGUCACUGUUUUAGUAUAUAAAUAGCCCAAAUUACAAAUAUAAUGAUGCAUUUGGAGCUGGAUUUUCACAAGGGAUUUUAGUUGGAGCUGUACAUGAUGGAUGAGAAGGACUAUGAGUGUCUGUCAUAAAGGUUUGAGCAGAAGAUGAUUGUGAGGUUUCCUUUCCUGGUAGGCCCCUCCUCUUAGUGAAAUUACAAAAGAUGCAAGCAAACACUAAAUGCAGGAAUUUAAAGCUGAUGAAUUACAGGUUACUUCUUGGAGCUGGAGAGCAGAAGUGAAGAAGAGGAGCCAGUCCAAAUGGCACAAAAGGCACACAAUUUGAAGUGGUGUGGUGUGACUCUGCGUGGGUUAAAGCCUUCUGGGAUUGUAUGGUGACACUCUGUGUACCAUGGCCAUCUCAACUGCGACAGGAUACAGAGUAAGAUUGCACCAGGAGUAAAAUUCUCCAGUCCACAUUUGUCUGGAAGAGAGCUGGCUGGAAGACUCCAAAGUGGAGCCAGGGAAUGAACUGAAAACUAUGUGGACAACGAGAAGGUUCAAUACUCAACUGAGACUCCUGGUCCUCUUUUCCUAAGCAGUAAAGGGAGCCUUGAAGGUGGCCAGGGUCAUCCCAGCAGUCUGAAAACUGAUUUGAAGCCUCAGAGGAGAACUAAAUAUCAGCCAAAGUUUACUUGAAAACGAGCCUGGGUUUUGCUCAAAUAAGCUAAUGAACCUUUGUGAACUUCCAAGACUGGGCUGAGUUUCAACUUUGGAACAAUACUUGAAGCCAGGCAAAGGACUGUAGUGAAGAAAAAGACUCGACUGGAAUAUUAGCAUCCACCCUGUUCUUACUUCAGAUAAAAGGCAUCUUUAAGAAUUAAUAGCACAGCCAUGAACUGGUUUAGAGAUUUCCACAUUGUAUUGAGAUGAUUGCUUGUUGGGGACUCAGCCUGCUAACCUGUGGAGAAAUUGUCUGGAGCAGCAGAAUUUUCUAGAAUUCCCUUUUGAUUGCAAUGACACAGCCUGUUGAAAAGGUUCUCCUGGGAUGUAAGAGCUUGAAGCCCCUGAAUUGGAAAGAUGCAGGAGUUUCUAAAAGGCCUUCUAAAGAAAUACAAGUUGUCUGAAUCACCAUAAGAAGAUACCUGGAGUGGCUUGUCUUGCAAUGCAGCUGCUUAAUCUGAGGUGGGAAAAGGUCUGUGCAGGCUUUAUCUGAUGUUUUAUAGAAAUCCAGCCAUGAGUCCUCAAACGAUUUGCUGUCGUGGGAUUACUAAAGUGUGUUAUCCUGUAGAUUCAUAAAAAGAGUUGAAAUGAUCACUGAGCAGUAUAUGACAAAAUAUCAGCUCCUUGCAACAGUCCUGGUCAAUUUUUACUUCCUUCAUUCGACAGUUAAGGACUAUUCUGAGAAUCUGACAGAAUUUUAAUUUAAAGUAAUAUUGAUCUUUAAACCACUAUGAACUCUGCUCAUAACCAAAUAAUUAGAAGAUCAAGCUGAGAAUCUCAGCAGCAUUUCAUUAAGAAAGGCCUAAUGCAAAGAAUUGGGAUUUUAGAAUGGCUAUGACAAAACCAUAUUAUAUGCUUAAAUACUUGGCUUGAUUUCUGGAGUGGAAAGAAGCCAAUAGUAUUUCAUGAUAAUACCAUUUAUUUAGAAUGUGACUUUGUAGGCAGAUUCUACUAAAAGUCUUAGUUGCAAAUGUUAUCCUUUUUAUUUUCUGGGGAAGACAACCUAGAAGUUGUUGCAGUUUCCAUUUUGAUCUGUAGAUGUUACCUUAAUUGUCAUAAUUUCAUGUGUUAUUUAAAAGGAAGAGUAAUUUCUAAUGGUAAAGAAGUUGGAUUUAUUCUGUAUCUCUUUUUAAAGGAAACAUACAACUUGAAUUGUGUACCUCAGGCUGUUUUUCCUUACUUUUCUUCUCUACCAGUGUUCUUUUUGAUUGCUUGGAUACCAUAUGCUACUAUAGCCCUUUUAUCUUUUUAUGACUGUCACCUGCAUCUGAGCUCCUGAUCCCUGACCACAGCUUCUCCUAAACCUCUGUGAAGCAUCAAAAAAAUUUAACAAAAGGCCAGAAAAAUGAAAUUUUUUUUUCUUGUUGUUAAAGGAUCUUAGUUGACUGUCCAGGUUAUCACCCUGCUAAUAAAUGAAAAAUGCAUUUAUUGA